rnacentral:lncRNA from 1 species
GCAGGAAGUGAGAACAGCGCUGGGCUCUCGUGCCUGCUGGGAGAACCUGCAGAAGUGGAGAUAAAGAAACAGGCUCAGAGAGGAAGAGAUGGUUAACAGCUAGAGCUGUCCAACAAUGGACCAGACCAGGUGGCCUCAUGAGGUGCAGAACAUCAGGUCCAGGAAGGCGAGUGCCUGUCUGUCUUGUACACAGAUGUAUUCCCAAGGCCUUGGGUGCGUGAUUGUGCAUCACAAAAGACUUACUCCAUGAAUGAAUGCAUGAAUAAGUGAAUGAUCAUUAUUCUGAUUCUAUAGAACAAACCAGAAUGCUUCCAUAUCAACUUAGCCAUAAUGUCAGGCCA